rnacentral:rRNA from 1 species
AUUGAACGCUGGCGGCAGGCCUAACACAUGCAAGUCGAGCGGAUGAAGGGAGCUUGCUCCUGGAUUCAGCGGCGGACGGGUGAGUAAUGCCUAGGAAUCUGCCUGGUAGUGGGGGAUAACGUCCGGAAACGGGCGCUAAUACCGCAUACGUCCUGAGGGAGAAAGUGGGGGAUCUUCGGACCUCACGCUAUCAGAUGAGCCUAGGUCGGAUUAGCUAGUUGGUGGGGUAAAGGCCUACCAAGGCGACGAUCCGUAACUGGUCUGAGAGGAUGAUCAGUCACACUGGAACUGAGACACGGGCCAGACUCCUACGGGAGGCAGCAGUGGGGAAUAUUGGACAAUGGGCGAAAGCCUGAUCCAGCCAUGCCGCGUGUGUGAAGAAGGUCUUCGGAUUGUAAAGCACUUUAAGUUGGGAGGAAGGGCAGUAAGUUAAUACCUUGCUGUUUGACGUUACCAACAGAAUAAGCACCGGCUAACUUCGUG